rnacentral:rRNA from 1 species
UUAGCCCUAAACACAAAUAAUUACAGAAACAAAAUUAUUCGCCAGAGUACUACCGGCAACAGCCCGAAACUCAAAGGACUUGGCGGUGCUUUAUACCCUUCUAGAGGAGCCUGUUCUAUAAUCGAUAAACCCCGAUAAACCUCACCAAUCCUUGCUAAUACAGUCUAUAUACCGCCAUCUUCAGCAAACCCUAAAAAGGAACAAAAGUAAGCUCAAUCACAACACAUAAAGACGUUAGGUCAAGGUGUAACCCAUGGAAUGGGAAGAAAUGGGCUACAUUUUUUACCUUAAGAAAAUUAAUACGAAAGCCAUUAUGAAAUUAAUGACCAAAGGAGGAUUUAGUAGUAA